UGUAAAAUAAUGCAGACAUAAUAUUGUAACGUAAUUCUAUUUGAAGUAGUGUCACUACGUACCUUCAAUGUCAUCACGGCUUGUAAAUAUUUUUAUCCAAAUUACUUAUUGUAAAUAAUUGUUUUUUAGAAUUUUUUUUUUUUUAAUGCCGAAGUGGUCUUACGACGAAAUUUUGACGUAAAUGGUUUUAUAGUGAAGUGGCGACAGCGAAUUGGCAAUGACCAUUUAUUCGUGUUUGAAAAUAUAUUUAAGGCGACCAGAACGAC